AGAAUUCCUUAGUACUGUGGAGCAGCAAGCUCGCGGACUGCUGAUCUCUCCCUGCCAGCAAUGCGGGCCUCCAGGCUCCCCGUGAGUGGGCCCCCAGCUUCAGUUGUCCAGGCCCUGGUUGCUAUAAGGAGUGGCUAGUUCAUCUGCAUCGCUGUCUGAGCUACCUUCGCUGUCCUUGGCUGGCCGAUCCAGGCUUCUGAAGAAGCGCGCGUCCCGGGGAGAGAGAGGGUAGAGUGGGUCCUGCAGGGCUGCGCCCACGCCCACACCCACGCCCAGCAGCUCCUCAUCAGAAGAUGGUAGCGAAUCCUCAUCCAGGUGCCGCGUUAGGCUGAGCCCAUCGAAAGCCAGCGGGUCCUCGAAUGUCGGUGGGCCUUUCAGCAACCGCACCUGGUGUGCGCGGGGGAGGGUGGAGGCGCCCGCGCGUUGGAGACGUAGAUCGACAUACCCAGAGAACCCCAGCCAUCAGGCGCCUUCCUCCCUCACCCUCCUAGCUUCAUGCUUUAUCUGGGUCCCCGCAGCAGCGUUUGGCCUGUGCCCGAUAUCCUUUGCUCUCACCUCAGUCUUGAGCUCCUCGAUCUGGUCCUUCAGCUCCCGGAUGUACUGCGAUGAAUCCGAGUGGUUCAGCUGGCCCUGGAUGCGGCCCUCCUCCCUCUGCCGGGAGGGCCGGAGUACUGUCGGUCAGAGCUUGGCCAGCCCCGGGGUUCACCCUCCUCCCAGUUCCUGGGGCUCACCUGGAUCUCCAGCUCUGCGAUGCGCUGCCUCAUCUCUGCCACUGCAGCCAUGCUGUCUGCCUCCCGAAGUCGAACAGCCAUCACUUCCUCCUUACUCUGAAGGGAAGGGGGUACACAAGGGGCGGGUCAAGGAGGUGGCAAGAUCUCAGUGGUUAGCCACGAUUGCCAGCUGGCCCUUCGCAGCUCCUCCACAAGACUUGAUGACCUCUCACUUUAAGGCAGGAGUCACUCUGGAUCUUCCUGGUAUCAUCACCAUGUUCAAUUUUAUACGGUACUGAGGAUAGAACCCAGGGCCUGGAGCAUUCUGGCAUGCAUGUGAAGGUGUGAGAACCAUUCAUGAGAUCAGUUCUGUGCUCCAUCAUGUACAUUCCUAGGAUUGAACUAAGGCUGUCUGUCACAUUUGCUGGUACUCCUGGAGGGUACCAGAAGAGGGCGUCAGAUCCCAGAGUUGAUGAGUCGUGAGUCCCCCAACACGGAUGCUGGGAAGUGAACUCUGUUCCUGUGCAGAGCAGAAGAAGUCACUCACGCAUCCCAUGAAAGAACUAUGCUGGUGCCCAGCCCCUGUCCAAGUACUUCUGGGACACCCUAACCUGCCACGCCUGCCUGGUGACUGCAUCCAUAAGUCAUCCCUGUCACACCUUCCUGGACGUCCUUUCUCAGAGCUCUUACGGCAGUCCCCGAUUUAAGCCAGCUUCCUGCAAGAUGGCUAAGUCCUUCAGAUAUGGCUACUAUCCACUGAAGACAGGGAUCAUCAGGGCCAGUGACAAUACCAACUUUGCUAGGUGUGUGUGGGGUCUGUUCUGCUAAACCCCACUGUUCUGCUAAACCUCACUGCUCCCAGGAAACACAUUAGGCCACACCCUAAUCUAACUGGCUCGACUGCAGCAGAAUACUACUAUUCUAAGGGCUUUUUCCCCCAACCCCCAUUUUCCAGAUGGAGAAGUUGAAGUUCUAAGCCAAGAUGAGUUUUUUUUUUUUUUAUUCAAAUCUGUUCAGAAUUUGUUUGUAAAUAUUCUACAAGGAAACCUAGGCUUUUUAUCUGGGUCUUUCCAGGCAUAACCAAAUGCUUGUUAGGAGCUGGUUUGUUCUGGAUUCUCCUUUACACUCCCUAGUUCUACAACUACAGCCAGUUCUGCAAUCUCUUCUUUCCUCUCUGUCUUGUGCUGGGGCCAAGCUACCUGUGAUCCCUUCCAAACCACCACAGUCAACCGCAGGAAUCCAGAGGGAACCCACAGGUCUGACCCAGUCUGAGCAGAUCCCACAUGCUAGGAGGAAGCUGUUUUAUUUUGACCAAACAUUGGUGGUGGGUAAAAGAACUCACAGGGCUCUCAGAAACUGGCCUUGAUGAGCACCUUAGAUGGCAGCACUGUCUAUAUCAUCUGAGGCCAACAGAUGCCAUAGGCUCAAGGAUGCUGGUCCUACCAGUCUGGUCAGACUUUAGGAUUGGGGCCAGGAGCCGCUGGAAGAUCUCACUCCCCAUGCCCUUGAGCAGGAGGGGUGCCAAGUGAGCAGGCUGAGCUGAUGUCUCUGGAUUCAGUUGGGAAUCUUUCCGUUUAAGAGGAGCCAGGACGACUCAGAGGCAUCUGUGUUACCAGAACAACACCCCAGUAUGGCUGAGGACUCCAGGAAGCUGCCACCUGAGAGCUCUCUGCAGGACUUGUAGGCAGUGCUGUAAGUGGGUCAGAGCCCUAUUCUCCGUCUGCAGCAGCAGGUGUUAUCGUGACCUUGGAGGAGGGACCCUGGUGAAACUUGUUCCAUUUCACCUUUCCCAGACUUGUUCUCUUACUUCCUGAGUCUUGAAAACCUCCUUCCUCUUUCCUGGAGGGUGGAAACGGCUGUGUGACAAGGGGGUUAUUUCUAUACUCUCAGGCCCUGUACCAUCUACGUACGAUUCACUCGCUAAGAUCCCCACGCUCUUUGUUGUUUGGUUUUUAUUUUUAUUUCAUGUGUAUGGGUGUUUUGUCUGCAUGUAUAUCUGUGCACCUUGUGUGUACCUGGUACCCAGAGCGGCCACAAGAAAGCACUGGAUUCUUUGGACUGGGUGUACAGAUGAGCUGACCUGUGGGUGUUGGGAAAUAAAUUUGGGUCUUCUGGAAAA
ensembl:processed_transcript 4932443L11Rik RIKEN cDNA 4932443L11 gene